GGGCGAUUAGCUCAGACGGCUAGAGCGCUGCCUUCACACGGCAGAGGUCGAGGGUUCAAGUCCCCCAUCGCCCA
rnacentral:tRNA from 1 species